rnacentral:rRNA from 1 species
UCCUACGGGUGGCUGCAGUGGGGAAUAUUGGACAAUGGGCGCAAGCCUGAUCCAGCCAUGCCGCGUGAGUGAUGAAGGUCUUAGGAUUGUAAAGCUCUUUCACCGGAGAAGAUAAUGACGGUAUCCGGAGAAGAAGCCCCGGCUAACUUCGUGCCAGCAGCCGCGGUAAUACGAAGGGGGCUAGCGUUGUUCGGAAUUACUGGGCGUAAAGCGCACGUAGGCGGAUAUUUAAGUCAGGGGUGAAAUCCCAGAGCUCAACUCUGGAACUGCCUUUGAUACUGGGUAUCUAGAGUAUGGAAGAGGUGAGUGGAAUUCCGAGUGUAGAGGUGAAAUUCGUAGAUAUUCGGAGGAACACCAGUGGCGAAGGCGGCUCACUGGUCCAUUACUGACGCUGAGGUGCGAAAGCGUGGGGAGCAAACAGGAUUAGAUACCCCAGUAGUC